rnacentral:rRNA from 1 species
AGUAACGGCGAGUGAAGCGGCAACAGCUCAAAUUUGAAAUCUGGCUCUUUCAGAGUCCGAGUUGUAAUUUGCAGAGGGCGCUUUGGCUUUGGCAGCGGUCCAAGUUCCUUGGAACAGGACGUCACAGAGGGUGAGAAUCCCGUACGUGGUCGCUAGCUAUUGCCGUGUAAAGCCCCUUCGACGAGUCGAGUUGUUUGGGAAUGCAGCUCUAAAUGGGAGGUAAAUUUCUUCUAAAGCUAAAUAUUGGCCAGAGACCGAUAGCGCACAAGUAGAGUGAUCGAAAGAUGAAAAGCACUUUGGAAAGAGAGUCAAACAGCACGUGAAAUUGUUGAAAGGGAAGCGCUUGCAGCCAGACUUGCUUGCAGUUGCUCAUCCGGGCUUUUGCCCGGUGCACUCUUCUGUAGGCAGGCCAGCAUCAGUUUGGGCGGUGGGAUAAAGGUCUCUGUCACGUACCUCCUUUCGGGGAGGCCUUAUAGGGGAGACGACAUACCACCAGCCUGGACUGAGGUCCGCGCAUCUGCUAGGAUGCUGGCGUAAUGGCUGUAAGCGGCCCGUCUUGAAACACGGACCAAGGAGUCUAACAUCUAUGCGAGUGUUUGGGUGUCAAGCCCGAGCGCGUAAUGAAAGUGAACGGAGGUGGGAACCCGCAAGGGCGCACCAUCGACCGAUCCUGAAGUUUACGGAAGGAUUUGAGUAAGAGCAUGGCUGUUGGGACCCGAAAGAUGGUGAACUAUGCUUGAAUAGGGUGAAGCCAGAGGAAACUCUGGUGGAGGCUCGCAGCGGUUCUGACGUGCAAAUCGAUCGUCAAA